UACGUAGGGUGCGAGCGUUGUCCGGAAUUAUUGGGCGUAAAGAGCUCGUAGGCGGUUUGUCGCGUCGGAUGUGAAAAUCCAGGGCUCAACCCUGGACCUGCAUUCGAUACGGGCAGACUAGAGUUCGGUAGGGGAGACUGGAAUUCCUGGUGUAGCGGUGAAAUGCGCAGAUAUCAGGAGGAACACCGAUGGCGAAGGCAGGUCUCUGGGCCACUACUGACGCUGAGAAGCGAAAGCAUGGGGAGCGAACAGG
rnacentral:rRNA from 1 species